rnacentral:sRNA from 1 species
UCUUUGAAGGCGCACCACCAUCACUGACUUUCCACAGCCCGGUCUCGUACCGGGCUGUU